rnacentral:rRNA from 1 species
UACGAAGGGGGCUAGCGUUGCUCGGAAUCACUGGGCGUAAAGCGCACGUAGGCGGACUCUUAAGUCGGGGGUGAAAUCCUGGAGCUCAACUCCAGAACUGCCUUUGAUACUGAAGAUCUUGAGUUCGGGAGAGGUGAGUGGAACUGCGAGUGUAGAGGUGAAAUUCGUAGAUAUUCGCAAGAACACCAGUGGCGAAGGCGGCUCACUGGCCCGAUACUGACGCUGAGGCACGAAAGCGUGGGGAGCAAACAGG